UACGUAGGGUGCGAGCGUUGUCCGGAAUUAUUGGGCGUAAAGGGCUCGUAGGCGGUCUGUCGCGUCGGGAGUGAAAACUCAGGGCUUAACCCUGAGCCUGCUUCCGAUACGGGCAGACUAGAGGUAUGCAGGGGAGAACGGAAUUCCUGGUGUAGCGGUGGAAUGCGCAGAUAUCAGGAGGACACCGGUGGCGAAGGCGGGUCUCUGGGCAGUAACUGACGCUGAGGAGCGAAAGCGUGGGGGAGCGAACAGG
rnacentral:rRNA from 1 species